GAUGAACGCUAGCGGGAGGCCUAACACAUGCAAGCCGAGCGGUAGAGGUUCUUUGGAAACUUGAUAGCGGCGCACGGGUGCGUAACACGUGUGCAACCUACCUUUAUCUGGGGGAUAGCCGUUCGAAAGGAAGAGUAAUACCCCAUAAUAUAAUGAUUGGCAUCAAUUAUUAUUUAAAACUCCGGUGGAUAGAGAUGAGCACGCGCAAGAUUAGCUAGUUGGUGAGGUAACGGCUCACCAAGGCAAUGAUCUUUAGGGGUCCUGAGAGGGAGAUCCCCCAGACUGGUAAUGAGGCCCGGACCAGACUCGUACGCGAGGCAGCAGAGAGGAAUAUUGGACGCUGGGUGAGAGUCUGAUCCAGCCAUCCCGCGUGAAGGAUGACGGUGCUAUGGAUUGUCAACUUCUUUUGUGCAAGGAUAGAAAUACCCUCGUGAGGGUAGCUGAAGGUACUGUACGAAUAAGCACCGGCUAACUCCGUG
rnacentral:rRNA from 1 species